GUGUCAGCAGCCGCGGUAAUACAGAGACUGCAAGCGUUACUCGGAAUCACUGGGCGUAAAGGGAGCGCAGGCGGACCGAUGUGUCAGGUGUGAAACUCCGGAGCUCAACUCCGGGACUGCGCCUGAAACUGUCGGUCUAGGGACUCGGAGGGGCUAGUGGAAUUCCUGGUGGAGCAGUGAAAUGCGUAGAUAUCAGGAGGAACACCAACGGCGAAGGCAGCUAGCUGGACGAGAUCCGACGCUCAGGCUCGAAAGUAUGGGGAGCAAAAAGGAUUAGAUACCCUCGUAGUCC
rnacentral:rRNA from 1 species